UUUUAUCAGAGAGUUUGAUCCUGGCUCAGGAUGAACGCUGGCGGCGUGCUUAACACAUGCAAGUCGAGCGAAGCAGUUAAGAAGAUUCUUCGGAUGAUU
rnacentral:rRNA from 1 species